GUUAGAAUAGUGCAGUUGGUUAGAGCAUGUGGCUGUUAACCACAAGGUCAGAGUUUCAAACCCUCUUUCUAGCA
rnacentral:tRNA from 1 species